rnacentral:rRNA from 1 species
GAUCCUGGCUCAGGAUGAACGCUGGCGGCGCGCCUAACACAUGCAAGUCGAACGGCGACCCCUCUCCGGAGGGAAGCGAGUGGCGAACGGCUGAGUAACACGUGGAGAACCUGCCCCCUCCCCCGGGAUAGCCGCCCGAAAGGACGGGUAACUACCGGAGUACCCCGGGGGUGCCCGCAUGGCACCCCGGCUAAACGCCCCGACGGGAGGGGUAUGGCUCCGCGGCCCAUCAGGUAGACGGCGGGGUNACGGCCCACCGGUGCCCGGACAACGGGGUUAGCCGGGGUUUGAGA